GUGACCUCAAAUCAGGUAGGACUACCCGCUGAACUUAAGCAUAUCAAUAAGCGGAGGAAAAGAAACUAACAAGGAUUCCCCUAGUAACUGCGAGUGAAGCGGGAAAAGCUCAAAUUUAAAAUCUGGCAGUCUUUUGGCUGUCCGAGUUGUAAUCUAGAGAAGUGUUAUCCGCGCUGGACCGUGUACAAGUCUCCUGGAAUGGAGCAUCAUAGAGGGUGAGAAUCCCGUCUUUGACAUGGACUACCAGGGCUUUGUGAUGCGCUCUCAAAGAGUCGAGUUGUUUGGGAAUGCAGCUCAAAAUGGGUGGUAAAUUCCAUCUAAAGCUAAAUAUUGGCGAGAGACCGAUAGCGAACAAGUACCGUGAGGGAAAGAUGAAAAGAACUUUGGAAAGAGAGUUAAACAGUACGUGAAAUUGCUGAAAGGGAAACGCUUGAAGUCAGUCGCGUCGUCCAGGGAUCAACCUUGCUUUUGCUUGGUGCACUUUCUGGUUUGACGGGUCAGCAUCAAUUUUGACUAUUGGAAAAAGGCUAAGGGAAUGUGGCAUCCUUGGAUGUGUUAUAGCCCUUGGUCACAUACAAUGGUUGGGAUUGAGGAACUCAGCACGCCGCAAGGCCGGGUUUUAAACCACGUACGUGCUAGGAUGCGCA
rnacentral:rRNA from 1 species